GGGUCAUUAGUAUAGUGGUAGUAUGCCUGCUUCGGGCGCUUGCAGGUGACCCCGGUUCAAACCCGGGAUGACCCC